rnacentral:rRNA from 1 species
GACGAAGGGGGCUAGCGUUGUUCGGAAUUACUGGGCGUAAAGGGCUCGUAGGCGGCCAACUAAGUCAGACGUGAAAUCCCUCGGCUUAACCGGGGAACUGCGUCUGAUACUGGUUGGCUUGAAUCCGGGAGAGGGAUGUGGAAUUCCAGGUGUAGCGGUGAAAUGCGUAGAUAUCUGGAGGAACACCGGUGGCGAAGGCGGCAUCCUGGACCGGUAUUGACGCUGAGGAGCGAAAGCCAGGGGAGCAAACGGG